UACGAAGGGGGCUAGCGUUGUUCGGAGUUACUGGGCGUAAAGGGCGCGUAGGCGGCGCACCAAGUCAGGCGUGAAAGCCCUGGGCUCAACCCGGGAAUUGCGCUUGAGACUGGUGUGCUCGAGUACGGGAGAGGAUAGUGGAAUUCCCAGUGUAGAGGUGAAAUUCGUAGAUAUCAGGAGGAACACCGGUGGUGUAGACGGCUUUCUGGACCGUAACUGACGCUGAGACACGAAAGCGUGGGUAGCAAACAGG
rnacentral:rRNA from 1 species